UGGGCGUAAGAGCUCGUAGGCGGUUUGUCGCGUCUGCUGUGAAAGCCCGGGGCUCAACCCCNGGGUCUGCAGUGGGUACGNGGCAGACUAGAGUGCAGUAGGGGAGACUGGAAUUCCUGGUGUAGCGGUGAAAUGCGCAGAUAUCAGGAGGAACACCGAUGGCGAAGGCAGGUCUCUGGGCUGUUACUGACGCUGAGGAGCGAAAGCAUGGGGAGCGAACAGGAUUAGAUACCCUGGUAGUCCAUGCCGUAAACGUUGGGCACUAGGUGUGGGGGACAUUCCACGUUCUCCGCGCCGUAGCUAACGCAUUAAGUGCCCCGCCUGGGGAGUACGGCCGCAAGGCUAAAACUCAAAGGAAUUGACGGGGGCCCGCACAAGCGGCGGAGCAUGCGGAUUAAUUCGAUGCAACGCGAAGAACCUUACCAAGGCUUGACAUUCACCGGACCGCCCCAGAGAUGGGGUUUCCCUUCGGGGCCGGUGGACAGGUGGUGCAUGGUUGUCGUCAGCUCGUGUCGUGAGAUGUUGGGUUAAGUCCCGCAACGAGCGCAACCCUCGUUCUAUGUUGCCAGCACGUGAUGGUGGGGACUCAUAGGAGACUGCCGGGGUCAACUCGGAGGAAGGUGGGGAUGACGUCAAAUCAUCAUGCCCCUUAUGUCUUGGGCUUCACGCAUGCUACAAUGGCCGGUACAAAGGGUUGCGAUACUGUGAGGUGGAGCUAAUCCCAAAAAGCCGGUCUCAGUUCGGAUUGAGGUCUGCAACUCGACCUCAUGAAGUCGGAGUCGCUAGNUAAUCGCAGAUCAGCAACGCCNUGCGGUGAAUACGUUCCCGGGCCUUGUACACNACCGCCCGUCAAGUCACGAAAGUUGGUAACACCCGAAGCCGGUGGCCUAACCC
rnacentral:rRNA from 1 species